rnacentral:rRNA from 1 species
CUACGGGGCGCUCCAGUGAGGAAUAUUGCACAAUGGGGGGAACCCUGAUGCAGCAACGCCGCAUGGAGGAUGACGCAUUUCGGUGUGUAAACUCCUUUUAUAUGUCAAGAAAAUGACGGUAGCAUAUGAAUAAGCACCGGCUAACUCCGUGCCAGCAGCCGCGGUAAUACGGAGGGUGCAAGCGUUACUCGGAAUCACUGGGCGUAAAGGACGCGUAGGCGGGUUGGAAAGUCAGGUGUGAAAUCCUACAGCUUAACUGUAGAACUGCACUUGAAACUUCUAAUCUAGAGUAUGUGAGGGGGAGAUGGAAUUAGUGGUGUAGGGGUAAAAUCCGUAGAUAUCACUAGGAAUACCUAAAGCGAAGGCGAUCUCCUGGAACAUUACUGACGCUAAGGCGUGAAAGCGUGGGGAGCAAACAGGAUUAGAUACCCCAGUAGUC